UAAAACCAGCACCUCAAGUGGUCAGGAUGAUUAUUGGGCCUAAAGCAUCCGUAGCCUGCUCUGUAAGUUUUCGGUUAAAUCUGUAUGCUCAACAUACAGGCCGCCGGGAAUACUGCAGAGCUAGGGAGUGGGAGAGGUAGACGGUACUCGGGAGGAAGUGGUAAAAUGCUUUGAUCUCUCGAUGACCACCUGUGGCGAAGGCGGUCUACCAGAACACGUCCGACGGUGAGGGAUGAAAGCUGGGGGAGCAAACCGGAUUAGAUACCCGGGUAGUCCCAGCCGUAAACUAUGCAAACUCAGUGAUGCAUUGGCUUGUGGCCAAUGCAGUGUUGCAGGGAAGCCGUUAAGUUUGCCGCCUGGGAAGUACGUACGCAAGUAUG
rnacentral:rRNA from 1 species